rnacentral:rRNA from 1 species
GACGUAGGGCGCGAGCGUUGUCCGGAUUUAUUGGGCGUAAAGAGCUCGUAGGCGGCUUGUCGCGUCGACUGUGAAAUCCCGCGGCUCAACCGCGGGUCUGCAGCCGAUACGGGCAGGCUAGAGUUCGGUAGGGGAGACUGGAAUUCCUGGUGUAGCGGUGAAAUGCGCAGAUAUCAGGAGGAACACCGGUGGCGAAGGCGGGUCUCUGGGCAGUAACUGACGCUGGAGGAGCGAAAAGCCGUGGGGAGCGAACAGG